AACAUGGCUACAACCAGAGUCUCUAAACUAUGCUGAACAGAGCUGGGGCAGUAUAUCCCUACUCAUCAUAUUAUUCCUUUUUAGGCUUUGUUUGCAAGUACUAGAAGAGUUUGCAGAAGAUUCCUUAGAGCUUUGAAAAGUGAAGUUGUGCAGCAACUUUGGUGCAAUUUAAAAAAAAGAAGAAGCUGGGUUGUUUUGCCAAGCAGCUUUGAAAGAUAAUAUUGCUUCAGUCUUUAUUGAAGCAAAGUGCCCAGCACAACCUUAUCAUCCCAUUUCUCAUUUUUCCAGUUGAAGAUCUGUUCUGGCAUCUACAAAUCUGCCCCCAAAAUGAAUUUGCAUUAAUGCUCA